CCGUGCUAGGCGGGGGGGUCGGGGUCCCCUACACCGGAAAUCCUCGAUACGCCGGGCUGAUCAACCGUCGGCGGCCGACGAGGGACCGUGCAGCCCUCGGUAAGCAGCGUUGAUGGUCGGGUCCCGCGCGACCCGGAGCCGUGAACCCGGUCAGGCCCGGAAGGGAGCAGCCGUAAGCGGUGUACCGGGAGUGCCGCGGGGUAACCGGGCCGGAGCCGGCUGCCGGGGAUAGCGGCGGCCGUUCGUCGGUCCACGGCGGGGGCACGG
rnacentral:SRP_RNA from 1 species